rnacentral:precursor_RNA from 1 species
AAUCGUAAACAAACUGUCGGUCAAUUAAAGCGAGAGGGGGCGCCCUCUCCACCGACCCUCCAUGGCUAGGGCUGCGCGUCCCUGCGGCGCCAGACCCAGGCCUCACUGCCACGGUAUCGCGUGCCCUGUCGCCCCCGGAAUCACGUCGUUCCACUUGGGGCGGUCAGGAAGCAAGCACCCGGUACGCUUACGGCCGGACGGUCGUGCAUCCUAGCACCUGUGUGUGCGGGUGUGUCAACGUUCGGUCGGAAGCCGGGGCUACCAGCCACCAGCAGCUUGCUGCUGGGUCUGGGUCUGGUGCUCCCCAAUGCUAUACUACAUACCAACACCACACAACAUCAACCUGUAUAUGUGCCUUGUGCGUCUAGCACGCCAAGCAAACUAACUGAUAGUAACACUGUA